rnacentral:rRNA from 1 species
ACAAUGGCAGGUACAGAGGGGUGCUACCGGGUGACCGGAUGCCGAUCUCGAAAACCUGUCCCAGUUCGGACUGGAGUCUGCAACCCGACUCCACGAAGUUGGAUUCGCUAGUAAUCGCGCAUCAGCCAUGGCGCGGUGAAUACGUUCCCGGGCCUUGUACACACCGCCCGUCAAGCCAUGGGAGCCGGGGGCGCCUGAAGUCCGGGACCGCGAGGACCGGCCUAGGGCGAAACUGAUGACUGGGGCUAAGUCGUAACAAGGUAAC